rnacentral:rRNA from 1 species
GAUGAACGCUAGCUACAGGCUUAACACAUGCAAGUCGAGGGGCAGCAUGAACUUAGCUUGCUAAGUUUGAUGGCGACCGGCGCACGGGUGAGUAACACGUAUCCAACCUUCCGUUUACUCAGGGAUAGCCUUUCGAAAGAAAGAUUAAUACCUGAUAGUAUGGUGAGAUUGCAUGAUAGCACCAUUAAAGAUUUAUUGGUAAACGAUGGGGAUGCGUUCCAUUAGGUAGUAGGCGGGGUAACGGCCCACCUAGCCGACGAUGGAUAGGGGUUCUGAGAGGAAGGUCCCCCACAUUGGAACUGAGACACGGUCCAAACUCCUACGGGAGGCAGCAGUGAGGAAUAUUGGUCAAUGGGCGAGAGCCUGAACCAGCCAAGUAGCGUGAAGGAUGAAGGUCCUACGGGAUUCGGUAAACUUCGUUUUAAUACGGGAAUAAAGUAUCCUACGUGUAGGAUUUUGUAUGUACCUAUGAAUAAGCAUCGGCUAACUCCGUGCCAGCAGCCG